rnacentral:rRNA from 1 species
CGAGUGGCGAACGGGUGAGUAACGCGUGAGGAACCUGCCUCAAAGAGGGGGACAACAGUUGGAAACGACUGCUAAUACCGCAUAAGCCCACGGUGCCGUAUGGCACAGAGGGAAAAGGAGCAAUCCGCUUUGAGAUGGCCUCGCGUCCGAUUAGCUAGUUGGUGAGGUAACGGCCCACCAAGGCAACGAUCGGUAGCCGGACUGAGAGGUUAACCCCCCACACUGGUACUGAGACACGGACCAGACUCCUACGGGAGGCAGCAUG